AGAGUUUGAUCCUGGCUCAGGACGAACGCUGGCGGCGCGCUUAACACAUGCAAGUCGAGCGAGAACCAGGCCUUCGGGCUUGGGGAAAGCGGCGAACGGGUGAGUAACACGUGGGUAACCCACCCUUGGUACCGGGAUAGCCCGGGGAAACCCGGAUUAAUACCGGAUGGCCCAACAGCUCUUCGGGGCGGUUGGAAAAGGUAGCUUCGGCCUCCGACCAAGGACGGGCCCGCGGCGGAUUAGCUUGUUGGUGAGGUAACGGCUCACCAAGGCGACGAUCCGUAGCUGGUCUGAGAGGACGAUCAGCCACACUGGGACUGAGACACGGCCCAGACUCCUACGGGAGGCAGCAGUGGGGAAUCUUGCGCAAUGGGCGAAAGCCUGACGCAGCGACGCCGCGUGGGGGAAGAAGGCUUUCGGGUUGUAAACCCCUUUCAGGAAGGACGAAGCCACUCGGGUUAAUAGCCCAGAGGGUGACGGUACUUCCAGAAGAAGCCCCGGCUAACUACGUGCCAGCAGCCGCGGUAAUACGUAGGGGGCAAGCGUUGUCCGGAUUUAUUGGGCGUAAAGAGCGUGUAGGCGGUUUGGUAGGUCCGCUGUGAAAACUCGAGGCUCAACCUCGAGACGCCGGUGGAAACCAUCAGGCUAGAGUCCGGAAGAGGAGAGUGGAAUUCCUGGUGUAGCGGUGAAAUGCGCAGAUAUCAGGAAGAACACCCGUGGCUAAGGCGGCUCUCUAGUACGUGACUGACGCUGAGACGCGAAAGCGUGGGGAGCGAACAGGAUUAGAUACCCCCGUAGUCC
rnacentral:rRNA from 1 species